rnacentral:rRNA from 1 species
UACGUAGGGUGCGAGCGUUGUCCGGAAUUACUGGGCGUAAAGAGCUCGUAGGUGGUUUGUCGCGUUGUUCGUGAAAACCGGGGGCUUAACCCUCGGCGUGCGGGCGAUACGGGCAGACUGGAGUACUGCAGGGGAGACUGGAAUUCCUGGUGUAGCGGUGGAAUGCGCAGAUAUCAGGAGGAACACCGGUGGCGAAGGCGGGUCUCUGGGCAUUACCUGACGCUGAGGAGCGAAGCAUGGGUAGCGAACAGG